rnacentral:rRNA from 1 species
AAGUCGAGCGGACUAAUGGGAGCUUGCUCCCAGAGGUUAGCGGCGAACGGGUGAGUAACACGUGGGCAACCUGCCCUGUAGACUGGGAUAACAUCGAGAAAUCGGUGCUAAUACCGGAUAAUAAUAGGAACUGCAUAGUUCUCAUUUAAAAGAUGGCUCCGGCUAUCACUACAGGAUGGGCCCGCGACGCAUUAGCUAGUUGGUAAGGUAACGGCUUACCAAGGCGACGAUGCGUAGCCGACCUGAGAGGGUGAUCGGCCACACUGGGACUGAGACACGGCCCAGACUCCUACGGGAGGCAGCAGUAGGGAAUCUUCCGCAAUGGACGAAAGUCUGACGGAGCAACGCCGCGUGAGUGAUGAAGGGUUUCGGCUCGUAAAGCUCUGUUGUUAGGGAAGAACAAGUGCCGUUCAAAUAGGGCGGCACCUUGACGGUACCUAACCAGAAAGCCACGGCUAACUACGUGCCAGCAGCCGCGGUAAUACGUAGGUGGCAAGCGUUGUCCGGAAUUAUUGGGCGUAAAGCGCGCGCAGGCGGUCUUUUAAGUCUGAUGUGAAAUCUCGGGGCUCAACCCCGAGCGGUCAUUGGAAACUGGGAGACUUGAGUACAGAAGAGGAGAGUGGAAUUCCACGUGUAGCGGUGAAAUGCGUAGAUAUGUGGAGGAACACCAGUGGCGAAGGCGACUCUCUGGUCUGUAACUGACGCUGAGGCGCGAAAGCGUGGGGAGCAAACAGGAUUAGAUACCC